rnacentral:tRNA from 1 species
GGAAUAUAGCUUAGUUGGUAGAGUGUUUGCCUUGCAUGCAUGAGGCCCUGGGUUCAAUCUCCAGCACCA